AUCCAGAUGAUGAGUCCCAGAUAGAACGAAAUGCCCAUCAUGGAU
rnacentral:hammerhead_ribozyme from 1 species